GACGAACGCUGGCGGCGUGCUUAACACAUGCAAGUCGAACGGAAAGGCCCUGCUUUUGUGGGGUGCUCGAGUGGCGAACGGGUGAGUAACACGUGAGUAACCUGCCCUUCACUUUGGGAUAACGUCAGGAAACUGGGGCUAAUACCGGAUAGGAGCUCCUGCUGCAUGGUGGGGGCGGGAAAGUUUCGGCGGUUGGGGAUGGACUCGCGGCUUAUCAGCUCGAUGGUGGGGUAGUGGCAUACCAUGGCUUUGACGGGUAGCCGGCCUGGGAGGGGGAGCGGCCACACUGGGACUGAGAUGCGGCCCGGACUCGAACGGGACGCAACAGAGGGGAAUAUUACACUAGGGGCGGAGGCCUGCUGCGGCAUCGCCACGUGCGGUAUGACGGCCUUCGGGUUGUGAUCCGAUUUCGCCUGUGACGAGGCGUGAGUGACGGUAAUAGGUGAAGAAGCACCGGCUAACUACGUG
rnacentral:rRNA from 1 species